rnacentral:rRNA from 1 species
GUGGGGAAUCUUGCGCAAUGGGCGAAAGCCUGACGCAGCCAUGCCGCGUGAAUGAUGAAGGUCUUAGGAUUGUAAAAUUCUUUCACCGGGGACGAUAAUGACGGUACCCGGAGAAGAAGCCCCGGCUAACUUCGUGCCAGCAGCCGCGGUAAUACGAAGGGGGCUAGCGUUGCUCGGAAUUACUGGGCGUAAAGGGCGCGUAGGCGGACAGUUUAGUCAGAGGUGAAAGCCCAGGGCUCAACCUUGGAAUUGCCUGUGAUACUGGCUGUCAUGAGUACGGGAGAGGUGAGUGGAACUCCGAGUGUAGAGGUGAAAUUCGUAGAUAUUCGGAAGAACACCAGUGGCGAAGGCGACUCACUGGCCCGUUACUGACGCUGAGGCGCGAAAGCGUGGGGAGCAAACAGGAUUAGAAACCCCGGUAGUCC